AUUGAACGCUGGCGGCAGGCUUAACACAUGCAAGUCGAGCGGAGAUGAGGUGCUUGCACCUUAUCUUAGCGGCGGACGGGUGAGUAAUGCUUAGGAAUCUGCCUAUUAGUGGGGGACAACAUUCCGAAAGGAAUGCUAAUACCGCAUACGUCCUACGGGAGAAAGCAGGGGACCUUCGGGCCUUGCGCUAAUAGAUGAGCCUAAGUCGAAUUAGCUAGUUGGUGGGGUAAAGGCCUACCAAGGCGACGAUCUGUAGCGGGUCUGAGAGGAUGAUCCGCCACACGGGGACUGAGACACGGCCCAGACUCCUACGGGAGGCAGCAGUGGGGAAGAUUGGACAAUGGGCGGAAGCCUGAUCCAGCCAUGCCGCGUGUGUGAAGAAGGCCUUUUGGUUGUAAAGCACUUUAAGCGAGGAGGAGGCUACUAGUACUAAUACUACUGGAUAGUGGACGUUACUCGCAGAAUAAGCACCGGCUAACUCUGUGCCAGCAGCCGCGGUAAGAC
rnacentral:rRNA from 1 species